UUAUGUACUGCAAACAUGCACUAAUAAAAAUAAAUAAAUAAAACACAAAAAAAUUGUAAAAGAUAUUACUGAAGUACAAUAGUGAGACAUGUCAGUAUCUGAGAGAACAGAUUUUCUGGCAAAGGGGGUAUGCUUUACAUGUGUGAGGAGAAAAUAGUCUGAGAGAUAUGGAAUGAUAGAAUCCCUGUGGUAGGAGAAAAAAGAAGAUGUAGAUGGGGAUGAGAUCAAACACAGAUGAUUAGAUAUUGCUUUAAAAAUAGUCUUUCUUCUGACUCCAAUGGGAAGCCAUUGGAAGGCAAGCAGAGUAGUAACAUGAUAUGGCUACACAUUACCUGGCAUUCUCUUCUGCCUUGUUGAGAAUAGUCUACCAAGGAGUAGAGCCCGGUCAAUGGGAAAUAUUAAGAAGCCUAUGAAGAAGCCAAGUGAGCAGUGAUGGGGUGUGGUGUGUCUGUCACUAGGCAACUAAGAAAAUCAAAGUCCCUGUAAACAGUUGCGGCAUUAUUGCCAUGUUCAGGAAUUAUGGAUAUAAAAAAGCUUUGGAAAAACAAAAGGGCCACAGGCAGAGAGGCUUUGCCACAGGUCUCAAUUUCAUGUGCCAAAGGAAUUUUGAUGCUGAAAAAAUUCUCAAACUUCAAGAUUUUCUAGAAAAUUUCACACAACUACUUAAGACUGUGUAAGUAGAGCAGGGGAGGGUGGUUCUGAAGAACAUUCCUACACAGGUGAGAAUGCCAGAAUUCCAAGCUCAUGGGUCCAUGUGUGCUUUGGAAAAUUGUACCCUGUCCAUCUCUUCCACCUAUCACAUCUUGCAUGAUGCUUAUUACCAGCAAAUGCUGCCAUUAAUGUAUACCAUAGGAAUUAUUAUCUGUGUUCCAGCACUGCUUUUAAUGCAAUGUUUUCUUAUAUGUCAUAUAUUGUUUAAUGGCUUGGUAAGGUUGGAAGAUAAAAAUAAUGUUAGAUAAUUUCUCACUAUUAUUCACACUAUAACAGGUAGCAUCUUAUUCUGUCUUCCUGAAGGCAACUAUAAGGUAAUUCAAUUAAUUGAUUAUUAAUUUUUGUGUCUACCUAUCUUAUGAGAUUACCAGCUCCCUGACAGAAAGCAGAAAUCCUUUGUCUUACUGUGUCCUCAGAAAAUAGGACUAUUUCUGGAAUAUAAUGGAUGCACAGUAAACACUUUUUGAUUGAGUGAAAAGCUUUUCCAUAAUAUGAGGAAUCAUGAUGGGCCAAAUCAAAUGCUAAAGUGCUAAGAGAAUCAAGCUAACAAGCAGAAAGGGGUAUAUAAAAAUUAUCUACACUGAAAACAAACACCCACAUUAAAUGAUAAUUAGAAUUUGAAAAAGUAUUGAACAGAGCAAGCAGGAUACAAAAAAUAAAUAAGCAGGAAUUAAAAACAACUGUGUAUAUGGCACAGCCAGGCAUAAAACAGCUGUAAAACAUUUUUAUUAUAUAAUUUAAUUAUUUCUAUUAGUUUUUUUAAUCAAAAGAAUCUUUCAUCUAUUCAUGAUGGACUUCAGGGGAAAAAAGCUUAGAGAUUUAUAUUCUCCUCGAGGUUUACAAGCAUAAUUGAAUCGAUACACUUGUAAUUUUUUCAGAUGCCAUUACAUUUUCUUGAUGCAGUUCUUUGUAAUUGUAAAUUGACAGCUCAAUCUUCUUGUCAGUUUCUGAAAAGACGUAUCUAAGGACUAUUCAAGAAAAUAUUUGGGGAGCUUAAUAAAAAGCAGCAAUGCAAUCAUGACCAAGCCCUUUUAGAACAAGACCUGAAUGCCAUUUCUCUCCUUGGAGCACUCUCAAUAUACCUGACAAUUCCAAGUAGGUUGGAGCUGCUACACAGGCAAACAACACAGGCAUCUGUUAGCAUAGGCUGGCUCUUCAAUAAUAGACCCUUCAGUUUUCUAAGGUCUUAGAGUAGACAUUCAUGGUGAAAAUGACAAUUUAAUGUACAAUAAGAUAACUAUAAAGAAGAGUCUUGGACACAUUAUUUAAUCAUAUUCUUCUGUAGUUCUGAGGGAAGAUGCUACUACAAUCUUGAUAUUACAGGUAAGGCAACUGAGUUAAAGAAGUCAACUAAUCUCAUUCACAGAGCUGAUAAACUGGAGAUACAGAUUCUAAUCCAGGCUUCCUAAAGAAUUAGCCUACUUCAGUACAAUGUCUCAUGAAAAUCUGCUUUUACAACUUUGGGAGGAGGUAGAAAGUGAGUCAUCAGGUGAUUCAGCUAUUGAUGAUGACUUGGAUCAUGUAAACCAAAGAAGUUGAGACACUGAGAUGGAGCAAGAUAUGACAAAUAGAUAGAGAAAUACAGAAUGAAGACCUCUGAUGCAGAUGAGGAAGAAAGCAGUAAUGUAAAUAAAUAUUUGACAAGUCAAAAUACUACAAAAUGGUUAUACAUACCUGAAUUAUCCAACAUUAGUACUAGGUCAGAAAAUGUUAUUACAUUCUUGCCAGGGGUGAAACCUGUUGAAAUGCCAACAUUGCAAUUCAGUGUUGGAAAUUGUAACAGAAAAUACAUUAAAAGAUAUUUUUAAAUACAAUAAUAAUGAAAUACAAGAAAACAUUCUAUAUGUAUCAAUAGUAAUACUCAAAAAUAUAACUAUCAUAACACCUCACUAUCUGAACUAAAAGCCUUCAUAGCAGGACUUCCUAAUUCGAAUCAUCAGAAUCUAAAGGAUUUAUGGAGAAGUGACAGAUGUGACAUUGUAAUUUUUAGAACAAUUAUGACACUCGAGAUUUGGUUUCCUUCCAAAUUGCCUAGGUUUUGAAGACAAAAAGACCCACCAAGAAAGAAAAAAAAAAUUAACAAUUUGGCAUCUAUUUGCUCAUGUUUUGAAAGCUUUGUUUUAAACUGUCAAGUAAUUUAUACAGCAUCUGAAUACAUGACAACUGACAAACAACUUGCAUCAUUUUGUGGUUGUUGAAGUAUUUGGUGAUAUAUGGCAAAUAAUCCUCCCAAAUAUGGUAGAAAAAUACAUGUCCUUGUAGAAGCAAAGGCAUUUUACACCUUGAAUUUAGACAUUUACCCUGGAGCUCAGCUACCAGGGCUCUAUUUGUGCAGUAAUAAACCAUAUGAUGUUGUGAAUGGACUUGUUACACCUAUUUCAAGAACUGAUCCAACAUUCAACAACUGGUUCACUAAUCACCUACCCAUUGAUGUUACAUUUGCUAAAAGAACACCAGUUGACCAGCAUAGGAACAAAGAAGAGAUUCCUGAAAAAAAUGCUGCAAGUUCACAAUAGAGAAAUGUAUAUUAUAAUGAAUUUCAGAAAAGACAUAACAUUGGGCUCCUAUAUGGUAAAGAAAAACAAAGUAGUAUUGAUGUGGUCAACAUUACACCAUGAUGGUAAGCUUGGUAGUGAAGCUGGACAUGGUGCACACCUGUAAUCCCAAUACUCAAGAGGCUGAGGCAGGAGGAUCCUGUGAGUUCAAGGUCAGCAGUGCUACAUAGUGAGUUCUAGGCUAGCUUGGACAGCACUAUGGUGAAUAAAAACAAAAUAAUAUUGAUACUGGCAAUGUUACACCAUGAUGAUAAGAUUAAUAGCAAAGCUGGUUGUGGAUGCCUGUAAUCCUAGCACUUGGGAGGCUAAAUCAGAAGGAUCCUGUGUGUCCAAGGUCAGCCUAUGCUAUAUAGUGAGUUCAACGCUAGCCUGGAUUAUAUAGUAAGAUCCUGUUUCAAAAAAAACAAACAAAUAACAAGAUUGAUAAUGAAUCCUCAAUACAAAUGAAGCCAUUAAUGUUGACAUUUUACAACAAAAUGAAAGGUGGAUUAGAUGUUGUUGAUGAGUUAUGCAUAUCGUAUCAUAUCAUAUCGUAUCACUGGAACUAUAAUAUCACUGGAAAGGCAAAGCAUUUGCCAAUAGCUGUGUUUUACUCAAUCCUAAACAUGUUAAGCAUAGUUUCAUAGUUUACAAAGAAAAUAGGCACAAAAUAUCAUGGAAAAUUUUCUUAGAGGAUUGGGACUCGACUUGAUAAAUGGUCAGUUACAAUAAAGAAAGAACAGUAUAUAUCUGCCAAAGAGCUCCCCAACAGAAUUCUGGAGCAAACGGGUGGACAGACAGGAUAAACACCACAAGAAUCUCCAAAAAAAGCAAGAAGAUAAGCAAGAUGUCAAGUAUGUCAUGCCAAAAAAAAAAAAGGAAAACAACACACGAGCUAUAAGUGUAAG